rnacentral:rRNA from 1 species
GACGAACGCUUUCGGCGUGCUUAACACAUGCAAGUCGAACGGAAAGGCCCUGCUUUUGUGGGGUGCUCGAGUGGCGAACGGGUGGGUAACACGUGAGUAACCUGCCCUUGACUUUGGGAUAACUUCAGGAAACUGGGGCUAAUACCGGAUAGGAGCUCCUGCUGCAUGGUGGGGGUUGGAAAGUUUCGGCGGUUGGGGAUGGACUCGCGGCUUAUCAGCUUGUUGGUGGGGUAGUGGCUUACCAAGGCUUUGACGGGUAGCCGGCCUGAGAGGGUGACCGGCCACAUUGGGACUGAGAUACGGCCCAGACUCCUACGGGAGGCAGCAGUGGGGAAUAUUGCACAAUGGGCGGAAGCCUGAUGCAGCAACGCCGCGUGCGGGAUGACGGCCUUCGGGUUGUAAACCGCUUUCGCCUGUGACGAAGCGUGAGUGACGGUAAUGGGUAAAGAAGCACCGGCUAACUACGUGCCAGCAGCCGCGGUGAUACGUAGGGUGCGAGCGUUGUCCGGAUUUAUUGGGCGUAAAGGGCUCGUAGGUGGUUGAUCGCGUCGGAAGUGUAAUCUUGGGGCUUAACCCUGAGCGUGCUUUCGAUACGGGUUGACUUGAGGAAGGUAGGGGAGAAUGGAAUUCCUGGUGGAGCGGUGGAAUGCGCAGAUAUCAGGAGGAACACCAGUGGCGAAGGCGGUUCUCUGGGCCUUUCCUGACGCUGAGGAGCGAAAGCGUGGGGAGCGAACAGGCUUAGAUACCCUGGUAGUCCACGCUGUAAACGGUGGGUACUAGGUGUGGGGUCCAUUCCACGGGUUCCGUGCCGUAGCUAACGCUUUAAGUACCCCGCCUGGGGAGUACGGCCGCAAGGCUAAAACUCAAAGGAAUUGACGGGGCCCCGCACAAGCGGCGGAGCAUGCGGAUUAAUUCGAUGCAACGCGUAGAACCUUACCUGGGUUUGACAUGGAUCGGGAGUGCUCAGAGAUGGGUGUGCCUCUUUUGGGGUCGGUUCACAGGUGGUGCAUGCCUGUCGUCAGCUCGUGUCGUGAGAUGUUGGGUUAAGUCCCGCAACGAGCGCAACCCUUGUUCACUGUUGCCAGCACGUUAUGGUGGGGACUCAGUGGAGACCGCCGGGGUCAACUCGGAGGAAGGUGGGGAUGACGUCAAGUCAUCAUGCCCCUUAUGUCCAGGGCUUCACGCAUGCUACAAUGGCUGGUACAGAGAGUGGCGAGCCUGUGAGGGUGAGCGAAUCUCGGAAAGCCGGUCUCAGUUCGGAUUGGGGUCUGCAACUCGACCUCAUGAAGUCGGAGUCGCUAGUAAUCGCAGAUCAGCAACGCUGCGGUGAAUACGUUCCCGGGGCU